rnacentral:lncRNA from 1 species
AUGAUUAGAACUGGGUUGUGUCAGACUGGAAGACUCAGGGUGUUUCUCAAUGUCAAGGCGCCUGGCCUUGCGAGGCGAUGUCUUGCGAAGCCAGGCACCUUGCUUGCAUUGACACGGUCCUUCCUUGGUCAAACAAAAUGGAACAGACUUGCAUCACGUGACCCCGACGGUCACUGCCAGACAAACUAACAGGACGAUGAUCAGAAGCAGCAAAACCAAAUCAGACAUUGUCCCUCAGAGCGGAGCAGCAGCAACGCUUACAGCAGAUUUCUGUCAAAGCUAACCCUUCUCCCCGGACACGCUGAGUUUGGUGUCCUGACGCUUCAGAAUACACCACAAAACCGCGUUUUCCCAAAAGUACAAUGCGGAAAUUGUUUACUUGCACAAACCGGUAAAGCUGAAAGUCAAAUAACUAGAAAAAGGGGACACGAAGAAGGCUCGUUUGUUUGUGGUACUUCCCCAAACAGAGGAACACGUUUCCCGAAUGGCCCAUUGUUGACAACUCGGAGGGGGGUUCGGUAAUGUUAAAAGAAAUUCAAACUAAUUGUUUGGUUUUCAUUCCUCUGUUAAACCGUUAUAACACUAUGUUUUUUAUUUUAAUUGACACACCGCGUUCAUUUUAACUUUUCGUGGACCAUUAUAAAGCAGCGCUAACGCAUUCACUCCGAACACACACCCCCAUGUAGCAUAGUGGUUCAGCCCAGGUGUUUAGACCCGGAUUCCCUCGCUUUGUAAUGUUUUUUUUAAAGGAUUUAAUAUUUAGUUUCCAUUCAGAUAGGUGUCGAUCUUGUUCUUCACAUGAAAUAGAAGUUUUACCCAGCUGCUGACAUUGAUUUAAAAUAUGGAAAUCCAUAACACCCAGAAUGCCGAGAUAAAUCAUUAAAAUGUAGGGCCUGUUUUAUGUGGGUUUUAGCCAACAGGCUAGCGUGCACUUUUCAGUUUGAGGUUGAACUGUACUAAACUUUAAUUUUAACUACAUGAAUUAUACUAAAUCCGAUAAGAAUGCUGCUGUCAGACAAUUACAAAUCUCCGUGUAUUCUAAUUGUAAAGACGGAGUAGACUGAAAUUUUGUUUUGAUUUUAGGAUUUUAUAUGGAAAAGUAACUCAAAUUAUAUACAUUUUCUUUAGGGAUGGUUUUUAUACAGCUUUUAAUCAGUGAGUUUCAUCCUGUUCAACAUUGUUUAAAAAAAUUAAUACAAGUUCUCAUCAACUCAAGUUGCUUCAUAUUGAAAAACCAUCAAUCGUUUAUUUCAGUGCCAAACCGAUAAAAGAAACCAUGCUUCAAGUUUUAAUGUAUUUUAUUUUCAGCAUUAACAAAAAUAAAGCCAAUAGUUAAUAAUUCCCAAAAUCUGUUUUAUGUCAGACAUUUAGACAUACAUCAUAAAACACGUUAAUAACAUAGUGACAACACACAUUACACAUUUUACUAACUGCAUUUAUAAAUACGUCUAAACAAUUCCUCCUAAACAGUUAUUGCCACUUUCAUAAUGUUAUUUCAAAUGUGUACAGCUGACUAUCCAGAU